rnacentral:rRNA from 1 species
UACGUAGGGGGCAAGCGUUGUCCGGAAUCAUUGGGCGUAAAGAGCGCGUAGGCGGCCCUGUAAGUCCGCUGUGAAAGUCAAGGGCUCAACCCUUGGAUGCCGGUGGAUACUGCAGGGCUAGAGUCCGGAAGAGGCGAGUGGAAUUCCUGGUGUAGCGGUGAAAUGCGUAGAUAUCAAGUGGAACACCAGUGGCGAAGGCGAAUCCCUGGAAAAUACCUGACACUGAGGCACGAAAGCUAGGGGAGCAAACAGG